CUCUUGUCUGCUUGUUGGUGACAGAGUCUUGCUAGGUAGCCCAGGCUGCACUAGAAUUCAGUAUUUAGCCUAGGCUAGCCUCUAACUCAUGGCAGUCCUCUAGCCUCAGCCUC
rnacentral:miRNA from 1 species